AGUGAACGCUGGCGGUAGGCCUAACACAUGCAAGUCGAACGGCAGCACAGAGGAGCUUGCUCCUUGGGUGGCGAGUGGCGGACGGGUGAGGAAUACAUCGGAAUCUACUCUGUCGGGGGGGAUAACGUAGGGAAACUUACGCUAAUAACGCAUACGACCUACGGGUGAAAGCAGGGGAUCUUCGGACCUUGCGCGAAUGAAUGAGCCGAUGUAGGAUUAGCUAGUUGGCGGGGUAAAGGCCCACCAAGGCAACGAUCCGUAGCUGGUCUGAAAGGAUGAUCAGCCACACUGGAACUGAGACACGGUCCAGACUCCUACGGGAGGCAGCAGUGGGAAAUAUUGGACAAUGGGCGCAAGCCUGAUCCAGCCAUACCGCGUGGGUGAAGAAGGCCUUCGGGUUGUAAAGCCCUUUUGUUGGGAAAGAAAUCCAUCUGGUUAAUACCCGGGUGGGAUGACGGUACCCAAAGAAUAAGCACCGGCUAACUUCGUGCCAGCAGCCGCCGUAA
rnacentral:rRNA from 1 species